AUUGAACGCUGGCGGAAUGCUUUACACAUGCAAGUCGAACGGCAGCACGGGUGCUUGCACCUGGUGGCGAGUGGCGAACGGGUGAGUAAUGCACCGGAACGUAUCCAAUAAUGGGGGAUAACGCACCGAAAGGUGUGCUAAUACCGCAUACGCCCUGAGGGGGAAAGGCGGGGGAGUCGUAAGACCUCGCGUUAAUGGAGCGGCCGAUGCCGGAUUAGCUAGUUGGUGAGGUAAAGGCUCACCAAGGCGACGAUCCGUAGCUGGUCUGAGAGGACGACCAGCCACACUGGAACUGAGACACGGUCCAGACUCCUACGGGAGGCAGCAGUGGGGAAUUUUGGACAAUGGGCGCAAGCCUGAUCCAGCCAUUCCGCGUGAGUGAAGAAGGCCCUUCGGGUUGGUUAAAGACUCUUUCGUCAAGGAAGAAAACUUAAU
rnacentral:rRNA from 1 species